CUUUUACAAAGUGGUGGGCCAGUGUUUGUAUUACCAAGUGGGGAUCCAUGCUUCUCACACUUCCUGGGAGGAGAAUUGUAUUUUCCAAGAACCAAAAGAGCCGGAGAACCUUCAGGAUGUCGGUGUGCAGCAGUACCUCGUGCAUACAACCAAGGUCCCCAAAUUAAUUUGGAGUGCUUAGAGCAGCCUCUUCUAUCAUUGCAAAGUUCACAUCUCUCAAGGGUUGCCUUUCUUCCCGAACCAGAGUCUUCGGUGGUGACAUUAAGCAUCAAACCACGUGUCAACAAGCUGCUGAUGAAUCCGUCCUGCAGACCCAGUCGUGUGACAGCAUUGCUGGUGGGGAAAUGUGAAUGGUUUCUCUCGUCUUAUGGGAUUCCGGCUAUCAAAUGAAUAUCUCUAUGUUCAUUUCUCUCCAUUUUUCUGGCUGUCGAAAUGUACUGUCAAGAGGUGAUACUGAACCUGAAUCUUGCAGAGAAUGUUGUCGUUGCCUCGAUGGGAAGGAUAUCCUGGAUCUUUGAACAAAUUCUUUCAGGAGAGUUUAGCUUUCUUUUCC
rnacentral:lncRNA from 1 species